CCCACUGAAAAUCACGCCAAGAAAUGGACUGGGACCAAACCAAAUCAAAUCAAACAUGAAAUUCAUGGUCCCACCGGCCAGUCUAAACACCACUGAGGUUGAAGAUUAAGAACUAUUAUCAAGGAAAAAAUAUGUUAGAAUUCAAGAACUAUAAAGAUCACAUAUUGACUCUCUUUACACAUCAUCACUGAUAUUAUUGAAAGGAAGAACACAAGAUAAAUGAUGCUAAACUCUACCUUGACACCCACAUUAAGCAGAAAUGAUUGAAUUUUAUAUCAUUAUAUGAAAAACAUGGAGAAGCAACACUGUUGACUUUUGAUGAUAUGCUAUCACAUCUAGAAAUGCAAAUUAAUGAUCCACAGAACCAGCACUGAUUGAUGAGCUAAAAGUUUCAAAAUACAAAGCAACAAGAAUGACAAUCAAUACAUGAUUUUUCUAAAUAUCUCAAAGACUGAGAAUACUACUUACCCUCAUAUAGCAAAGAACAAAGAAUGGAUAACUUGUGUAGUAAGAUGUUGAAGAUAUUACACACAGAAUUCAACUGUUGAAAUCAAGAGCCUCAGAACUACAAAGAGUUACUUUGAACUCUACAGACUCUUAAGAAAAAUAUAUCAGAGCAACAGCAUACUAUUCACAAAGAAAGAUCUGUGAUAUUCAUAGAGAAUCAGCAUCAUUCUGAUAAAUCUAGCAACCAUUGAAACAAGAGAAAACAAGAGAAACAAAUAAGUUCAACUGAACAAAUCAAGAAAAAUAAAUAUAACUGAAUGAAGAAGUGUUCUCACUGCCAUAAGAAGAGUAAUGUUGCAAAUGAUUGUUGGAUGUUACACUCUGAAAAGCACAACCAAGUUUGACAAGCAAAAAAUCAACAAUUUCAAUCAUAGAAGCAGCUGCUGCAUUGGAAAUACAAACAACUAGACUAUAAGAUAAACAAUUAUUGAUGAUAAAUACAUGAAUGCUGACAGAAGCAGAAUGGUCGAUGGUGUGAAUGCUAGUGAAUUCUAAUGUGAAUGUGAACUUUGUGUUCCACACCUGGGCAUCAAAAUAUUUCUCAAAGGCAGA
rnacentral:sRNA from 1 species